rnacentral:rRNA from 1 species
AUUGAACGCUGGCGGCAGGCUAACACAUGCAAGUCGAGCGGAUGAAGGGAGCUUGCUCCUGGAUUCAGCGGCGGACGGGUGAGUAAUGCCUAGGAAUCUGCCUGGUAGUGGGGGAUAACGUCCGGAAACGGGCGCUAAUACCGCAUACGUCCUGAGGGAGAAAGUGGGGGAUCUUCGGACCUCACGCUAUCAGAUGAGCCUAGGUCGGAUUAGCUAGUUGGUGGGGUAAAGGCCUACCAAGGCGACGAUCCGUAACUGGUCUGAGAGGAUGAUCAGUCACACUGGAACUGAGACACGGUCCAGACUCCUACGGGAGGCAGCAGUGGGGAAUAUUGGACAAUGGGCGAAAGCCUGAUCCAGCCAUACCGCGUGUGUGAAGAAGGUCUUCGGAUUGUAAAGCACUUUAAGUUGGGAGGAAGGGCAGUAAGUUAAUACCUUGCUGUUUUGACGUUACCAACAGAAUAAG